rnacentral:ncRNA from 2 species
GCCGACUGAAAUUAUCCAGGUGCUCGUUGGAGCUUAACAGGGAAUCCCGUGUGAAUCGGGAACGGACCCGCCGCUGUAAUCGGGGACGAAAGCCGCAAAAUGUCACUGUCUGCCACCUUGGCGAUGGGAAGACGCGGCCGGUAGGAAGAUCCGAGAGUCAGAAGACCUGCCUGGGUAGUGUGGAUACC